rnacentral:rRNA from 1 species
UACGGGGGGAGCAAGCGUUGUUCGGAUUUACUGGGCGUAAAGGGCGCGUAGGCGGUAGCACAAGUCAGUUGUGAAAUCUCCGGGCUUAACUCGGAACGGCCAAGUGAUACUGUCGUGCUAGAGUGCAGAAGGGGCAAUCGGAAUUCUUGGUGUAGCGGUGAAAUGCGUAGAUAUCAAGAGGAACACCUGAGGUGAAGACGGGUUGCUGGGCUGACACGUGACGCUGAAGCGCGAAAGCUAGGGGAGCAAACAGG